AUGUUUUCGGUGGGAGACUCGGUGUAUUUGAAGCUCCAGCCAUAUGCUCAACACACUGUAGUCAACCGACCAUGUGCAAAAUUAGCAUACAAGUUCUAUGGGCCUUUUGAAGUUUUGGAACAGAUUGGACCGGCUGCUUACAAACUUCAGCUACCUAUAGCAGCCCAGAUCCACCCCGUGUUUCACGUCUCUCAACUCAAAGAAUUUGUACCAGAUCAUACACCGGUCUUUUCCACUGUGCCUGCCCCAGUUGAUUUUUCCAGUAUGGACAUGCAGCCAGGUAUGAUCUUCGACAGGAAAUUUGUCAAAAAAGGUGACCGUGCAUUGUUGCAGGUUUUGGUACAGUGGACAGGACUUCCAGCCAAGGCAGCCACCUGGGAGGAUUAUGAUACAAUCAAGCUUCGCUACCCUACUGCUCCAGCCUGGGGUCAGGCUGAAUCUCAAGAGGGCGGCACUGUCAGCACUAAUGCUCUGUUGCUGAUGAAAGGUGCAUUAGGGAGCAGACAGGAGAAGAAGGGGACAUAUACUAAGUGGCAGGCCAGAAGUUAA
rnacentral:rRNA from 1 species